AUUGGUGUCUUCCGUUUGUUUUUCCUUUACUCUCUCAACCAAUUUUUACUUUUAAUUCCUAACCUUCUUUGAUUUAUAUCACCUUUUAACCUUAAAACCUCCAUUUUAAACCAAGAAAAUCACCCAAAAACUUCAUCAUCUACAUCAUCUUCUCCAAAUGUGGAUUUUUCUAGAUUUGUGUCAAAGCUUGUUUUUCUUCCAUCGAAGAACCAUUGGAACCUUCUACGAGCAAGGCGAAAGACAAAAAAAGCUAGUUUAAGCUUUCGGCUUUUCGACUAAAGCGUAAUUGGUGAGUGUUUGAAAUUGCUACUUGUAGACAUGAUUCUUAGUGUUGAUUGAGAGCUUAGGAAUAGCCUAAACCUCUAUCAUAAGUUUCGAGUGUAAGCUCUCUAUUUUCCUUGUUUUAUUUUUGUCAAAUUAUGCCAAUAUUUGAAUAACUAUGAAUUGAUUAUUAUGAUGCAAUAUUGUGAAUUACAUUA